rnacentral:ribozyme from 1 species
UGAAAAAAAAAAAAAAAAAAAAAAAAAAAAAAAAAAAAAAAAAA